GGUGGCGUCCGGGUUCCUGGUGGGCUCCCCGGUCUUCAAAACCGGUGAGGCCGAGCAUCUCGGCCUGGCGGGUUCGAUUCCCGUCCGCCACCGCCA
rnacentral:tRNA from 1 species